AUGCAGCAGCCCAUCUUUAAACACAGCGUGUCACCCUAGUGCUCUGCAGACCGCACUGAGUAGCUGUUCAUUACCGGAUCCAAAUUAGAGUCCUAGCAGAAGUUGCCAAAGCUGUGACAGGCAUGGCAAUUCCCUGCACAAGCCUUACUGAAUGAUGUUUGCAUAUCGUUAUGGGCCAGGGAUUGUAUGUAAUUUCAUGGGGCAGGGGGACUGCAAUCCUCCAGGAGCUAAGGACAGUGGGGUUGAGGUGGCUGGGCAAAUUCACUCAGGAUGCAACACCUCUGGAGAGACUGCAUAUACUGGUUAAGAGUGGAUUCUCAGAGACCAGCAAAGAAAGGACUUUUGGAUAAAUAGCAUGAGUUUUAACUGAUUCAGGGCCAGCUUUAAGAUCCAGCAAACAGACCAGACCUUCUGUCCAAAGGGGGCCCCAAUCUUUCCUAGGAGGGAAUGGAAGGACUUGACCUAUUCAUCGGGGUGCUUGUUCUGAAUUAAGAGCGGUCAUGAACUUGCGGCCACAGAAAACGCCUUGGUGGGGUUUGAAGGACUGAUCACCUGCCAGAGCCCUUGCUGGACUUGGGGUGAUUUCUGACCCAGAUCGUGACAGGUGGAGUGCACCAGAUCGAGGAUCCUUUGCACCUGGGCCUGAGACAUUCCCUUGAGGAGCCAGUCAUUGAGAUAUGGAUAAACCUGAACACUCGACACCUCAGGCACAUUGCCAAGGAGGCCCCCAGGACCUGGGUGGCAGAGGCCAAGCGAGUGCAAAGGGGCUCAAGAAUCCUUCAGGCCAUGCAGCCUCGCAUCAGUCAGAAGAGAGCAUUCCCUUCAAACAGAAGGUCCUGGAUGGAGGACUGCAUUUCCUGGGAUAGACCCAAGGAUUGCAGCCAGGAACUUUGCCUCAUCACCACGGCCGAGGCAACGACUCGGGCUGCUGAGUCAGCCCCUCGCGACCAUCUUGCCAUCCUCCUGAAUGGCUGCAAACUCCUGGCAGAGGUCUUGAGUCAGGGAGUCCUUGAACUUACUGAGGAAAUCCCAUACGUUAAAGUUGUAUCUCCCCCACAAGGCCUGAUAGUUUGACACCCGGAACUGGAGACUGGCCGUCGAAUACAUUUUUCUUCCAAAAAGGUCCAGUCUCUUAGCAUCCUUAUUUUAAGGCAUGGCACUAGCCUGCCCCUACUUAUCCCUCUUGUUAGCCACCGAUACUACUAGCGACGCAGGGAGCAGAUGGGUGCACAGACGUUCAAACCUUUUGGCAGGGACAUAGUAUUUCUUUUCAGCCCACUUGGAUGUGGGUGGAAUCGGUGAAGGGGUUUGCCAAAAUGCCUUCGCAACCCUUAACACCCCUUCGUGGGCUGGCAGUGCAACCCGCCAGGCUGCCUCCAUUAGAAUGUCAAAGAGCGCGCACAGCGGUUUCACCACCUCCUCAACCUCCAAACCCAGGUUGGAAGCCUCCCUCCUACAUAGGGCUCGGUGCGCCCUGAAGGCAUCCAGAUGGCUAGAGUGCCAGGGCCCAACUACAAGGACGAUGUCGUCACCAUGGGGGGAGGGCUUGGGGCACUUUUCCUCAUUGGGAAGGGCUCCUUUGGCAUCAGCACCUGUCCUGCCACCCUGCGUCAGAAUCCAUGCCAUGUUCUGAACUUGGUACCGCCAGUUGCUUCUCACGGCAAGGGAGGAGUGGUGAGAACACGGCACUGGCAUCAGUGGCAGACCCCUGUUGCCAAGCGUUCGCUGCAGGUGCCGUGCUGGUCUCCGGAGCCUAAGGAGGGUGGGGCGUGGAAGCUUGUGUUUGGCUACUGACUCGAGGAAUGGGGGACCGGUGCCUAACAGGUGGUGACUGGUGGUGGGGCAGCAGGGACUGGUGAAGAGUGGUUUUGCAUCAGUGGUGACUGAUGCACCAAAGGCCAUCUGGGGGGAUGGAGACCUUCACCGGGGUGUUGGUUGACAGAAGGAGGGCGGGUACUGGGAGCAUGGAGACUGGUGCCCUGAUGCGGGUGAUCCACGCUGCAUCAGCGGGGACCGCGAACGCAGUAUUGGAGACCUGGGACGUUUGGCCGGGGACCAACGCUUCUGCUCCAGAGACCGAUGACUGUCCACUGCCCUUUGAGGCGGACUGAUGGCUAGCUUGCCCUUGGACUGGGGAGCCUUAGCUGUAUCUACUGCUGGACGCAGCAUAGGUGGUGCUGGAGGGGCCAUAAGGUCCCUAGCCGCUUGGAAAGUCUCAGGCGUCAAAGGUACUAACAAGUGCUGAGGUCCCCUACCGCUCCCAGGAGUUGGAGGUGGAUCUCUGGGCGGGCUGAGGGGUCCAGCUGGAGAGAUACCACCUUGGAGCUCUGGGGUGAGCAAGAGGCCCAAACAGGGUCCUUUGCUCAACACCCCCCCAUCUUUACCCUGUGCCGGGGAGCCAUGCUGCUUUCUCUGGCACUUCUCGGGCACCAGUGAGGGGGAGCAGCGCCAGGAGGAAUUCUGUGCCGGCAGGGUGCUCUGGACCAACACCAAUGUACUAGGUGUUGAAUUGCAGAGGGACAGUUCCAACACCGGGCAAAGUGCAGCCUCCAUGAGGAGGGCUUGAAGACAAAUGUCCUGCUCUUUUUGGGUCCUCGGCUUAAAGUUUUUGCAGAUUCUGCACUUAUCUUUCAUGUGCAACUCCCCCAAACACUUUAGGCAACUGCUGUAGGGGUCACUAACCUGCAAACUUACUACAAGCUGAGCACGGUUUGAAGCCGGGGGACCAGGGCAUGCCCUGCCCAGGGCAAAGUCCCUGCUGGGACUCUAACUCAAUUAAGACCUAACAACUAAUUACUAACUAACUAUUGUCAACUUUAUACAAAAAGAACAGUCAGUAGGUUAAUAGAAACCGCUAUCACACUUGCAAAGCAAGAGGAAGGCGCUCCGACCAACCGUCAUGAGUAGUAAGAAGGAACUGAGAGUGCGUAGGGCCGACGGCGCCUCAUAUACUGACGCAUGAGCGCGGGGCUCCAGAGGACGUCAGAACCGGCCCUACAGAUAACUCUAAAGCAAAAAAUUCCGACAACAGUGCCUGGGCAUGCACAUACCUAGAAUGGAAUCAACAUGACCAACACGUCUCGAGGAAGAAGAAAAAUGGUUACCUACCUUCUUGUAACUGUUGUUCUUCAAGAUGUGUUGCUCAUGUCCAUUCCAUUUUAGGUAUGUGCAUGCUGCAUGCACAGUCAUUGGAAGGCUUUUCCCCUUGCGGUACUCAUCAGGUCAGCUGGGGAGCCCCUGGAAUCACAUGUUCAUGGCAGUGUAUGUAGGGCCCUGCUGACCCACCACCUUUUCAGUUCCUUCUUGCCAGAUACUCCACCAGAGUGGGUUUUGGAAUGGGCAUGACCACCACAUCUCUAAGAACACCAGUUACAAGAAGGUAGGUAACAGUUUUUUCUUUGAGUACUUGCUCAUGUCGAUUCCAAGCAGGUGACUCCCAAGCAUCUCCUAGGAGGAGGGGUUGGAGUUCAACAGACCGCAGAUUGUAGCACCGCCCUGCCAAAUGUGGCAUAGUCUCUGGCCUGCUGUGUAAUGGCAUAGUAUGAUGUAAAGGUGUGGAUCGAUGACCACGUUGCUGUCCUGCAGAUGUCUUGAAUGGGGACUUGUGCCAGUAAUGCAGCUGUGAUAAAUGAGAGGGGGGGACAGCUCCCUUUUGUGGACACCCAGCCAGUCAGCUACGGAAUCCCUUUUGGUGGUUGUUCUCUUCUUGCUUUACCUGUAAAGGGUUAACAAGCCCACAGGUAAAAGGAAGGGAGUGGGCACCUGACCAAAAGAGCCAAUGGGAGGGCUAGAACUUUUUAAAAUUGGGAAAAAAGCUUUCCCUUUGUGUUCUGUGGUUGUUGUCCAGAGAGAGGGAACAGGGAAAAGUCAGGGCUAUUACUAUGCUGUAAAAAGCUUUUUGACAGGUAUGGAAAUCAGAUUAUACCUAGAACUACCCAAAUAUGUAAAUAGAUCAGGAAAUGUCUAGCAAGACACUAUUAGGUUUAUUUCUUUAUGGCUUG